rnacentral:tRNA from 1 species
GGGAAGGUAGCUUGGUGGUAGAGCACUUGCCUUGCAUGCAUGAGGCCCUGGGUUCAAUUCCUCAGCACCA